ACGGAGGAUCCGAGCGUUAUCCGGAUUUAUUGGGUUUAAAGGGAGCGUAGAUGGAUGUUUAAGUCAGUUGUGAAAGUUUGCGGCUCAACCGUAAAAUUGCAGUUGAUACUGGAUGUCUUGAGUGCAGUUGAGGCAGGCGGAAUUCGUGGUGUAGCGGUGAAAUGCUUAGAUAUCACGAAGAACUCCGAUUGCGAAGGCAGCCUGCUAAGCUGCAACUGACAUUGAGGCUCGAAAGUGUGGGUAUCAAACAG
rnacentral:rRNA from 1 species